AACGAACGCUGGCGGCAGGCUUAACACAUGCAAGUCGAGCGCCCCGCAAGGGGAGCGGCAGACGGGUGAGUAACGCGUGGGAAUCUACCCAUCUCUACGGAAUAACGCAUGGAAACGUGUGCUAAUACCGUAUACGUCCUUCGGGAGAAAGAUUUAUCGGAGAUGGAUGAGCCCGCGUUGGAUUAGGUAGUCGGUGGGGUAAAGGCCUACCAAGGCGACGAUGCAUAGCUGGGCUGAGAGGAUGAUCAGCCACACUGGGACUGAGACACGGCCGAGACUCCUACGGGCGGCAGCAGUGGGGAUUAUUGGACGAUGUGCGCAAGCCUGAUCCAGCCAUGCCGCGUGAGUGAUGAAGGCCCUAGGGUUGUAAAGAUCUUUCACCGGUGAAGAUAAUGGCGGUAACCGGAGAAGAAGCCCCGGCUAACUUCGUGCCAGCCGCCGCUGUAAUAC
rnacentral:rRNA from 1 species